rnacentral:rRNA from 1 species
UUUCCCUGGCCUUGAAAUAGUAAGACUUUUCAAAAGAUGUAGUGGGUGCCUUCGGGGACCUUAGAUCACAGGUUCUGCCGUUGCCUUUGCUCAGCCGGGUUUCGGGGAGAUGUUGGGUAAAGCCCCCCAAGGGGGCCAACCCUUUUCCUUUAUUUGCCAGUCCUUAAGGUGGGCACUCUAAGGAGACUGCCGGUGACAAACCGGAGGAAGGUGGGGAUGACGUCAAGUCAUCAUGGCCCUUACGGCCAGGGCUACACCCGUGCUACAAUGGUCGGUACAAAGGGUUGCUACACAGCGAGGUGGUGCUAAUCUCAAAAAGCCGAUCGUAGUCCGGAUUGGAGUCUGCAACUCGCUCCAUGAAGUCGGAAUCGCUAGUAAUCG